rnacentral:rRNA from 1 species
UACGGAGGGGGCUAGCGUUGUUCGGAAUCAUUGGGCGUAAAGGGCGCGUAGGCGGCCGAUCAAGUCGGAGGUGAAAUCCCUCGGCUCAACUGAGGAAUUGCCUUCGAUACUGCUCGGCUUGAGUCCUGGAGAGGGUAGCGGAAUUCCCGGUGUAGCGGUGAAAUGCGUAGAGACCGGGAAGAACACCAGUGGCGAAGGCGGGCUACUGGGCCGAUACUGACGCUGAUGCGCGAAAGCCAGGGGAGCGAACGGG